rnacentral:rRNA from 1 species
GACGAACGCUGGCGGCGUGCUUAACACAUGCAAGUCGAACGGAAAGGCCUGCUUUCCCUUGUGGAUUGCGGGUACUCGAGUGGCGAACGGGUGAGUAACACGUGAGUGAUCUGCCCCCAACUUGGGUAUAAGCCUGGGAAACUGGGUCUAAUUCCCGAUAGGACUGCAGGGUGGUGCCUGUGGUGGAGAACGAUUUUCUAGUGGUUGGGGAUGAGCUCGCGGCCUAUCAGCUUGUUGGUGGGGUAAUGGCCUAUCAAGGCGGCGACGGGUGGCCGGCCUGGGAGGGUGGACGGCAACGUUGGGACGGAAAUACGGCCCAGACUCCUGCGGGAGGCAGCAGUGGGGGAGAGUGCGCGAAGGGCGGAAGCCUGAGGCGGCGACGCCGCGUGGGAGAGGACGGCCUUCGGGGUGGAAACUCCUUUCGACCGCGAGGAAGCCACCUGGUGGGAAGGGUGGUGACGGUAGUGGUAGAAGAAGCACCGGCGAACUACGU